UACAGAGGGGGCAAGCGUUGUUCGGAAUUACUGGGCGUAAAGGGCGCGUAGGCGGCCUGCUAAGUCGAACGUGAAAUCCCUGGGCUCAACCCAGGAACUGCGUCCGAUACUGGUUGGCUUGAAUCCGGGAGAGGGAUGUGGAAUUCCAGGUGUAGCGGUGAAAUGCGUAGAUAUUAGGAAGAACACCGGUGGCGAAGGCGGCCAUCUGGCUCGGUACUGACGCUCAGGCGCGAAAGCGUGGGGAGCAAACAGG
rnacentral:rRNA from 1 species